UGGGGCGUGGCCAAGUGGUAAGGCANNGGCAGCGGUUUUUGGUACCGCCAUUCGGAGGUUCGAAUCCUUCCGCCCCAGCCA
rnacentral:tRNA from 1 species